UCUCAUAUAGCACAUCUAGGUCACUUUGUUAUAGAAGUGAUAAUAGGGAAGUUGGUGUAAAUCCAACGCGGUCCCGCCACUGUAAAUGCUUGAUUGCCUGCACAUCCACUGUCAAUUUGAUGGGAAGGGGAAGUAAUCGAUAAGCAUGAGUCAGGAGACCUGCCUAGGUGUUUCGUGUGAA
rnacentral:ncRNA from 2 species